rnacentral:lncRNA from 1 species
GAAGAAAUAUUUUUUCAAAAUAUUCCUGGUUUUGGAAUUUUAUAUUCACUUGUCAUAUUACUAUUUGCAAUGGAUGAUUUUUUCAAAUUUAUUAAUUUGGAAAUAAUGAAACUAAAGCAAAUUGGCGGUUCUGCAUGAACAGUGCCUUUGAAUACCAAGAAAGUAACAAUUUAUGUAUUUCAGGCUUGUAAAUAUAUUUUAUGACACAUAUUAGUAGGGGUGAAUUUUUUUAAAUUAAUACCAUAUUUCUUGAUAAAUGAUGAUAAUUAUUUUUUUUUAAUUUAUGAAUUUUAUAAAGGAAAAACGCUUUUGGGAUGAAGCUUUUAAUAUUUUGAUUGUAUAAUGAAAAGGGCGUAUAAAAAUUAUCACAUGUUAUUAUUGUAAAAAAUAUAGUUGUAAGUGAUGAAUGUAAAACUCACUUGUGUACGUUUUUAAAAAAUGGUGCGUUCUUGCAUCGUUGAGUUUAUAUACUACUUUUUUUUUUCACAAUUUAAAAGUUUGACUUUAAAUGAAUCAAAGGUGACAAGUGUACUGUUACGAUGCCAUAAAAACCAUCAUUGUUACAAUAAUUUGAAACGAAUUCAUGGAAACAACUUAACUCUCUACAUUCUCUCGAAAACCUUCGAAGUUUUGUUUCAAAAAUUAAAAAUUGGCUUGCUCACAACAUGUUGAAUUACUGAAUCAUAUAGAUAGAAACAUUGUUAUGGUUUGAGGGC